AAAUCACCUAUUUUUAUCAAAAUCCUCUGAAAAUUUUUAAACAAGUUACGAAUUGAUGCUUCAUUUUUGGAGGUUCUAUCAAUAAAGAGUUAGUUUGAUCAAGGUGGAAGAAUGUGAAUUGAUUGAAAACUACAUCGAAGAAAUUGCAACUGAGUAUUUCAAAACGCCUCCCUGUUAUGUGGUUUCUGGGAUAGCAUUGUAUCUCCAACACAUUUGAAAUGAUAGAUCAAGAAAGACUUUGGAUUUUGAACCUCCCAAAUGGAGUUAUGUUCAUUAUUCAUUGUGGAGAAACUAGAAACUACUGCCUCAAGAAGGGGUAGAGCAUGUAAGCGAGCUGCCAAAGUUGGAAAGGGAUUGUCAAAGAAUGAGAAGGCGCAAGAAUUGACUCUGCAACGUUUGUUAAAAUAUUAUCAUGGUGAGCUUCACUCACAUAAGGGCAAUGCUUCAAUUUAAUAGUUACUUUGAGAUAAUGGCAGUGUCCUUAGCUACUGCUUCAGAGUUUUGGAUAUUCACUGAAGCCAACAAUAAGGUAAAAGUUACUUACCUCAGCGAGGCACCCCCUGAUCCCAUAGCAAACAUAGAGUAGACCAAUAUUACAGUUUGAUACAAUCAUUUUCAGAAUGCGAAGACACCAUGGCUUUUCAAAUCUUUUUUCGUCUAUGAACAAAAAGAACACAUGCUACUGUGGUCAGCUUUGUGUAUGUAUUUAUAGAAAAAAAAAAGAUCAAAACUCUCCUUUCUAUCUGGCAUCAAGAUAGUUUUGGUAAUAUGGAGGUUGCAGAUUUUUUGUCUUGUCAAAUGUGAAUUGCUUCUCAUUCGAUUUCCUUCAGAUCUUUUCAUCUUUAAUUUAUAACAUAUUCAUUCUUUCUUUCAGAAACUUCAAAUGUUAAGCAGAACUUUAUUUAUGAAUGGAUGUUCCCUAUUUUUGGCUGUAAA